UCAUAAGUACUCGUACAUACAUUGUGGGAUUCGUAAACACAUAGCACGCGAAACACACACACAUUGUGGGAUUCGUACACACAUAGCAUGCGAACCACACGCAAUUGUGGGAUUCGUACACACAUAGCACGCGAACCACACACAUUGUGGGAUUCGUAAACACAUAGCACGCGAAACACACACACAUCGUGGGAUUCGUAAACACAUAGCACGCGAAACACAAACACAUUCACCAAAUGUGUGUGUGAAUUGUUUUACGCGCAUUUGCAACGUGCUUCCAAUUACAAAUUCCCACUUACGAAUACAAAUUCCCACUUACUAAUGUGUGGAUCGUUUUGAUACCCGUCAUGCGCAACUGAGAAGAACACAUGCAUUUUUUUAACUGGAGCCCGUCUUCAGCCAAUCAGACGUCUUCUUCUUAAACAGCCAAUCACAAGGGCUGGGCUGUUUCGUUACGUCACUGCUGUGCGCCUUCAAGUCCGGUGUACUGAGUGACAAGUGACAAAUGGGGAGCUUUUGUAAAAGUAGGAGCCCCGUUUUUGACAGCUCAACUCGACCGCGGGGACUAUCGAUGCAAGCUGAAGACGUCCCAUCCAUUUUGAGUGGGAGGACCUCCCAUGCACUUCAAAUGUAUUGGAUGUCAACUGGUGAAAAACUCAUUGAACCGCUCAGCAGAGGGAUGAUGAGAGCAAGAUUAGAUGUCUAAUACUGUACUAUAUGUGGCACAUUUUUAACAGGCUUUUUUUCCGCCAAAUAAGUCUUUUUAAGAUUACUUUCUCCAUUUCAAGCCUAUUUGAAAGUCAUACUUGGGAAAAUUCAGACUUCUUAAUGUAUGAUUGUGAUGUCUAUGCUUAAACCAAUUUAAGACCAUUUUAAAAGGAAAAAAAUAGACAUUAUAAGCCUGUUAAAAAUGCUACCUACAGUGACAGUAUUUAAAGGAUGGUAGUCUAUUACGGAUAUAAAAAAAUAUAUUUUUUGAAAGACUUGGAGCAACAGAGCUUUCUUGCCAAAUGAAUCACAUUUGAUACACUUAGGAUUUAGAACUCUUUCCUCAAAAAAAAAAAAAAAAAAAAAAAUGGAUGCAAGUCAACUCAUGCAUCUGCAUGUUCCAUGAGAAAAACAGGAUUUAACAAGGAAAAUAGAUAUUAGAGCGCUUAUUACACAUUUUUCUUUACAAAUUUGGAAAAAAAAAGGUUUAAGACCUUAUUUUUCACAUUUUGUGAUUCUCUGACAAUUGCUUCAUAUUGCAGGCAUUAAGGGGUUAAGACCUGCCACAUGAAUUUUACUACCUUUUUAAACACUUUUUUUUAUUGCGACAAACCUAAUAAGUGAUCAAUGAUGGCAAGAGAGGAUAAAGCGCAGCAGCAAAUCCUCAGAUCUGUUCUUUGGAUGCCUUUGAAAGUAAAUAGUGACAUUGAGAGCAAUCAGGAGUUCAAUUAUGUGAGGUGAGGAGACCAAGUAAGUUUUGAGACAUUUUUUAAUUUAAAUAGACAUCUCAGACUCCCAGCCUGUAGGAGGGCACAGGCUAGAUCUCCUCGAGCCUUCAGAACUUCGGGAAGGUGGGUCUGGUUGUGCCUGAGAUCUCCAUUGGCCAUAUACUCUUCCGCAAACUGAAAUGGCAUUUUAGGCAUUCUGUUACAUAUCAGUGCUAAACAACAACAGCAGCAAAGUUUUACUGCAGAGACUCCGAAAUCUUAAAAUCAUUACCUUUAAUGUGAAAACCCCACAGCUACUGUUGUUCUGCUGCUUGUUAUGGGCCACAGUUUUGGUAGUCCAAGUUUCUAUUUGGAACUCACGGCCCGCCAACCUCAAGAAGUUCCUAAUUAUUGUUUUAUAAGCAAAACAAUGAAGAUGAACAUUGAACUAUUAACUUCCAUAUUAACAUAAUACUAGGAAUUUAAACUUUCUGAAGCGGUUACCUCCAAUUCCGCAAGAUUUUGCUCAUAUUUGUCCUCGUUACUCAAGGGAUCGUUGAUCACCAGUGUUCUCUUAGAAAUGUGGACAAUCUAUAAAAGGUUAGUUCCUUUGUGUAAUUCUGCACAAUGACAGAUUUAUGUAGUUAACUUACUAAUGAAAUUUAACUUCUGUAUGGCAUCAGCUAAAUUAAUAGCUAUAUAUAAUACAUUCCAGAAUCGGUAGGUCUUAAGAAAAUAUAAGAAACCCACUAACCACUAAAAUCCAAUGAGCGCAUACAGGACAGGACAGGACAAAUACACUUUUUUUUUCAACAGGGAAUUUCCUCUGAAGAACAUACAAUACCAAAUUAUUGUUAUUUUGGGUUACUGGCGUUAAAAUAAUAUAGCUAAAUAUUGGCAUGAAAUGGAUUACCUUUCUAACAGGCUGAAAUUUUCCCAAAAGCAGACUCCCAGCUACCACAGCAGAGAGUUGGUGAAUGGGCUCCUGUUAAAAAAAGGGGUAACAACAUUACAACUAUACUCCGGCAAAAAAUAAAUGCAUUGAGAAAAACUAUAUCCAGCACUUGGCUGCUGCCUUUCAAUGAGGAUAUGCAUGUAUGCAUCAAAUACUUGCAUAGCAAAAUAAAAAAAUUGGCAAAAGGCAAGAAUCUUUGUUAUUUGCUAAACACUUAUUGUUCCCACUGACUUCAUCAGACAGCCAGCCGUUGCCUUUUAGCGUAUGAAAAGAUGUGUCAUAUAAUUUAUACGGUCCAACGACAGCCUCCACCUUGCCUUGAUCCUCUGCAGCCCACAGUAAUUUAACUGAAAACACAACAUUGUUAAAUCAAAAAAGUUAUUAUUUACGGCACUUGACCAGAUGACCAUCCGGUCAAAAUUAUCUACUGAAUAGGCCAAACCACCAAACAAAUCCUGUCGGUCGUUCACCAAUUUUGUAAGAGCUGUACGAAGUAGAAGGGUACAAUUAGAUAUACAUUUUAGAACACCAACAACAAC